rnacentral:rRNA from 1 species
AGAGUUUGAUCAUGGCUCAGGAUGAACGCUGGCGGCGUGCCUAACACAUGCAAGUCGAGCGAUUCUCUUCGGAGAAGAGCGGCGGACGGGUGAGCAACGCGUGGGUAACCUGCCCUGUACACACGGAUAACAUACCGAAAGGUAUGCUAAUACGAGAUAAUAUGCUUUUGUCGCAUGGUAGAAGUAUCAAAGCUCCGGCGGUACAGGAUGGACCCGCGUCUGAUUAGCUAGUUGGUAAGGUAACGGCUUACCAAGGCGACGAUCAGUAGCCGACCUGAGAGGGUGAUCGGCCACAUUGGAACUGAGACACGGUCCAAACUCCUACGGGAGGCAGCAGUGGGGAAUAUUGCACAAUGGGCGAAAGCCUGAUGCAACAACGCCGCGUGAGCGAUGAAGGCCUUCGGGUCGUAAAGCUCUGUCCUCAAGGAAGAUAAUGACGGUACUUGAGGAGGAAGCCCCGGCUAACUACGUGCCAGCAGCCGCGGUAAUACGUAGGGGGCUAGCGUUAUCCGGAAUUACUGGGCGUAAAGGGUGCGUAGGUGGUUUCUUAAGUCAGAGGUGAAAGGCUACGGCUCAACCGUAGUAAGCCUUUGAAACUGGGAAACUUGAGUGCAGGAGAGGAGAGUGGAAUUCCUAGUGUAGCGGUGAAAUGCGUAGAUAUUAGGAGGAACACCAGUUGCGAAGGCGGCUCUCUGGACUGUAACUGACACUGAGGCACGAAAGCGUGGGGAACAAACAGGAUUAGAUACCCUGGUAGUCCACGCCGUAAACGAUGAGUACUAGCUGUCGGAGGUUACCCCCCCUCGGUGGCGCAGCUAACGCAUUAAGUACUCCGCCUGGGAAGUACGCUCGCAGAGUGAAACUCAAAGGAAUUGACGG